AGCAGCCGCGGUAAUUCCAGCUCCAAUAGCGUAUAUUAAAGUUGUUGCAGUUAAAAAGCUUGUAGUUGAACUUCGGGGUUUACUCAUUGGUCAGGCUUAAUUGUCUGUACUGGUGAGAUGAAUCUCUACCUUCUGAGGAACUUUCAUGCCAUUUAUUUGGUGUGGUUGGAAAUCAGGACUGUUACUUUGAAAAAAUUGAGUGUUUAAAGCAGGCUAACGUCUGAAUACAUUAGCAUGGAAUAAUGAAAAUAGGACGGAUUGAUUCUAUUUCGUGGUUUCUAGGAUUGACGUAAUGAUUAAUAGGGAUAGUUGGGGGCAUUAGUAUUCAAUUGUCAGAGGUGAAAUUCUUGGAUUUAUUGAAGACUAACUACUGCGAAAGCAUUUGCCAAGGAUGUUUUCAUUAAUCAAGAACGAAAGUUAGGGAUCGAAGACGAUCAGAUACCGUCGUAGUCUUAACCAUAAACUAUGCCGACUAGGGAUCGGAUGAUGUUAAUUUUUAUAGUACUUNAUUC
rnacentral:rRNA from 1 species